UUGGUUUCCAGACGUAAACUGCGCGGCGAGGAAGGAGGCGACGUCUCACACUUGAUCGUUGCCUUGUCCACCUCCACUGGUGACUGAAAAAGUCACAAAUCUCAGCAAGUGGAAGGCGCAAAUGGAGGAAUUGGAAGACCAAAGAGGAGAUUUAUGGAUGUGGUAAGUUGUGACUCCAGCUGUCUGAGCCUCUCCUCCACGUUGCCAUGGCGCUCCUCAGCCUGAAAGGGGAGACACUUACUCAUGCAUCUGCAUGCAGUGCCGCCACUCGUUGCGCCAGCUCAGCCUCCACCUCUGGCAGCGUCUCAGCCUUCCUCAUGGUUUGAGCCAACCUCUGCUCUGCCAUCUCCAGCAUCUCUU